rnacentral:lncRNA from 1 species
UUUAUAGGCUUUUAAAUGCCAAAACCAGAUACAAAAUAGGUUUAAGUAAGACUUAAGUCCUUCAAUAUAGGGAAACUGCCUUUUCAGAAUUCUUUGUAGAUUAAUCUGUAAAAAAAACACUAAGUUGCAGGAGUCACCAUUAGGUAUUGCUUAAUGCAAGAGCUGUUUCUGUAAAGUUAGGAUUGUUAGAACACCAGUAAAGACUUGUGUAAGAAAUGUGAGCUGUCUGUGCAGAAAGAAAUGCUUUAAGAAAUUUUAGGGGGUUUGAUUUUAAUUGCCACUUUGCUGACACCCAAAGUGAUUAUCUUUACCCACCUGAGAAACUUUGGGCCCAUUAUAUAUUUCUCAAAGUAUGAAGUGGUUUUCAAAAGAUGCUUAUCACAACGUGCCCACUGUUAGUUUUAUGUCAGCUCAUUUAAUCCUGACCCAGAUCCAAUGAGAUAGGUCCUGUUCCUUUCUCCGUUUCAUGGGAGGGGCGGACAUGUGUGGAGGUUAGACGUGCUCCGGUUUGCAGAGCUGUCCGUAACUCGGCAGGGAUUGGGUCCUCAGGUUCCGGGCCCUAGCGCCUGCAUGCUGCUGUGAUCUGCUCCAGGAAUGACUCGCGCCCUGUCCGAGGCAUAGCGUCUCCUCAGAAGAUGAGUGUGGGCCCUUCCAGUAUUGCAUUCAAGGUGAUCAUGUGAACGAAAGACCAAACCACUCCGACUGAAGGAAGUGAACCUGUGCUGGCCUCUUGGCCGUCGUUGGGACGUCAGGGGCUGGGUCGAGACUUUUCUGGAUGAUAAGGCUUCCGUCCCCCCAGGAAGGGCCAAGUCAGCAACCAAGAGCGAGCCUUGCGGUGGCCGUUUCAGGGGCAUCGGGGGCAUGCCCUCCCCGCCACCGAUCGCUGAGGACGCCCCUCCGCUGCUUCGCUCUGUGUCCUUAAAACGUCGGCUACUGGGCAUACAGAUGGUUAUACUUCCCAGUCCCCUAGCAGCUCCCUUGGCGGAGUCGUGCGAGUGGUUUUGGCUAAUGGGCUGUGCUGCAGCGUGGGAGAGCGGGUGUGAGAACACUGAGUGCUCUCCUCUUCCACCGUGGUGACCCGGGAGGCUUUGUGUUGUCAUGGCAGAGCCGCAGGAUUGAAACGGCCUAUGUUGUGUCACUUCAUGGAGAACAACACCCUGGCGGUCGUCCAGACCCACAGCUGGCUUUGUGGGAGCUGGAAAUGGAUGUGUGAAGCCACUGAGGUUGUGGAGUUGUUUGUUACCACAGCAUAACCUUUCUUGACCAGAGCUUGUUGGAAAAGUUUUCCUGCGAAGGGCUAGAUAGUAA